AUAAGUUGAAAUUAUGGGAUGUAARCCGGGACAGGCAGCAAGACGAUCGUAAUACGUACACCAUAUGUGAACCUCGUAAUUAUAAAUCUGUCUAUUGUGAAUGAAAUAACUGAAGAACAUCAAGAUUAUCGAGAAUUAAAUCGCUGAUAUAAUCGAC